GGUCAUGGCUCAGUGGUAGAGCACUUGUCUAGUAUAUGUGAGGCACUGGGUUCAAUUCUCAGCACCA
rnacentral:tRNA from 1 species